rnacentral:rRNA from 1 species
AGUGAACGCUGGCGGUAGGCCUAACACAUGCAAGUCGAACGGCCGCACAGUAAGAGCUUGCUCUUACGGGUGGCGAGUGGCGGACGGGUGAGGAAUACAUCGGAAUCUACUUUUUCGUGGGGGAUAACGUAGGGACACUUACGCUAAUAUCGCAUACGACCUACGGGUGAAAGCAGGGGAUCUUCGGACCUUGCGCGAUUGAAUGAGCCGAUGUCGCAUUAGCUAGUUGGCGGGGUAAAGGCCCACCAAGGCGACGAUCCGUAGCUGGUCUGAGAGGAUGAUCAGCCACACUGGAACUGAGACACGGUCCAGACUCCUACGGGAGGCAGCAGUGGGGAAUAUUGGACAAUGGGCGCAAGCCUGAUCCAGCAAUGCCGCGUGGGUGAAGAAGGCCUUCGGGUUGUAAAGCCCUUUUAUUGGGAAAGAAAAGCAGCAGGUUAAUACCCCGCUGUUCUGACGGUACCCAAAGAAUAAGCACCGGCUAACUUCGUG